rnacentral:rRNA from 1 species
AAUUAAAAAUAAAACUAAAAGGACGCGGUAACCUUGACCGUGAUAAUGUAGCAUAAUCACUCGCCAUUUAAUUGAUGGAUAGUAUGAAUGGUUGAACGAAUAUUCCACUGUCUUAAAGAGAAUUACAAGAAAUUGAAAUAAUAGUUAAGAUGCUAUUUAAAACUGUAAGACGAAAAGACCCUAUAGAGCUUAACUAUAGUCUCUUUACUAAAGAAGAAAAAUAAUUUUCUUAUAUAAAGAGAUUGGUAGUUUAGUUGGGGCGACUGUCUUCUAAAAUAAACGAAGAUAAGCAAUGUUAAUAAAAAACUUAUUGUAUAAUAAAUUUAUUUAACAAUUACAAAAGUAGGCUAUAUUGACCCGUUUCUACUAAAAAACAAAGAAAAACGAUCAAUUGAUAAAAGCUACCUUAGGGAUAACAGGAUAAUUUCAUUUUAGAGCUC